rnacentral:misc_RNA from 1 species
GAAAGGACGAAUAUGAUGAAUUAGCUUUGGCAGAAGUGAUCUUUGUUAUAACAUCAGCAAUAAAGGAUGCCUGUGGGAAAGCUCCAACUGAGCGCUUGUUUCUUGACAAGUACGGAAAGAUUUGCUUGUGUCUUGAUGAAAUUGUCUGGACGGGCAUCUUGGAGAACACGGAGAAAGACAGGAUCAAGAGGCUGAUAAGGUUAAAACCUCCUAAUGAGUUUUGAUCAAUGAAACGGAUGCAAUAUCUUGCUGGUUGCUGCUUUCAAAUAUUUUACUCAACUAAUGCCAAAGAAUGUUUCAGCGAUGUGAUUUAAUCAUCAUGAUUGAUAAGUUUACUUUACUACCUAUUCUAUCUGGCUCAUAUUAUUCUCUUAUCGGACCGUUGGGUUUGUUAGUUAGAACUCGAAGCUGUAAUGGAGAAAUUGUUUGGAUCAAGAUUUUCAUGGCGGGUAGGAAGCUUGAGAAUACAGCAGACGACGUUUGUAUGAUAUGGUAAAAUGCAGUGAAAUUAUGAAGUAAAUUUGUAGUUGAGAACGAAAGAUUUAGUAUUCUAGGAACUUUCUUCACAAGUAACUGUGGUUGGUUUAGAUGUUUGUUUCCAUUGAAUAUUUGAGGUAUGUAUAAGUUUGGGCAUUGGAGCA